GACGAACGCUGGCGGCGUGCUUAACACAUGCAAGUCGAACGGAAAGGCCCUGCUUUUGUGGGGUGCUCGAGUGGCGAACGGGUGAGUAACACGUGAGUAACCUGCCCUUGACUUUGGGAUAACUUCAGGAAACUGGGGCUAAUACCGGAUAGGAGCUCCUGCUGCAUGGUGGGGGUUGGAAAGUUACGGCGGUUGGGGAUGGACUCGCGGCUUAUCAGCUUGUUGGUGGGGUAGUGGCUUACCAAGGCUUUGACGGGUAGCCGGCCUGAGAGGGUGACCGGCCACAUUGGGACUGAGAUACGGCCCAGACGCCUACGGGAGGCAGCAGUGGGGAAUAUUGCACAAUGGGCGGAAGCCUGAUGCAGCAACGCCGCGUGCGGGAUGACGGCCUUCGGGUUGUAAACCGCUUUCGCCUGUGACGAAGCGUGAGUGACGGUAAUGGGUAAAGAAGCACCGGCUAACUACGUG
rnacentral:rRNA from 1 species